rnacentral:rRNA from 1 species
CCUACGGGUGGCAGCAGUGAGGAAUAUUGGUCAAUGGGCGCUAGCCUGAACCAGCCAAGUCGCGUGAAGGAUGACUGCCCUAUUGGUUGUAAACUUCUUUUAUCUGGGAAUAAAGUGCAGUAUGUAUACUGCUUUGCAUGUACCUUAUGAAUAAGGAUCGGCUAACUCCGUGCCAGCAGCCGCGGUAAUACUGAGGGUCCGAGCGAUAUCCCGGUUUAUUGGGUUUAAAGGGAGCGUAGGCGGGUUGGUAAGUCAGUUGUGAAAGUUUGCGGCUCAACCGUAAAAUUGCAGUUGAUACUGGCAUCCUUGAGUACAGUAGAGGUAGGCGGAAUUCGUGGUGUAGCGAGGAAAUGCAUAGAUAUCACGAAGAACUCCGAUUGCGAAGGCAGCCUGCUGGACUGUAACUGACGCUGAUGCUCGAAAGUGUGGGUAUCAAACAGGAUUAGAUACCCUUGUAGUC